UACGUAGGUGGCAAGCGUUGUCCGGAUUUACUGGGCGUAAAGGAUGCGUAGGUGGAUAUUUAAGUGGGAUGUGAAAUACCCGGGCUCAACUUGGGUGCUGCAUUUGAAACUGGAUAUCUAGAGUGCGGGAGAGGUAAGUGGAAUUCCUAGUGUAGCGGUGAAAUGCGUAGAGAUUAGGAAGAACACCAGUGGCGAAGGCGACUUACUGGACCGUAACUGACGCUGAGGCAUGAAAGCGUGGGGAGCAAAC
rnacentral:rRNA from 1 species